rnacentral:rRNA from 1 species
UACGUAGGGUGCAAGCGUUGUCCGGAAUCAUUGGGCGUAAAGAGCGUGUAGGCGGCCUGGUAAGUCCGCUGUGAAAGUCCAGGGCUCAACCCUGGGAUGCCGGUGGAUACUGCGAGGCUAGAGUCCGGAAGGGGCGAGUGGAAUUCCUGGUGUAGCGGUGAAAUGCGCAGAUAUCAGGAGGAACACCAAUGGCGAAGGCAGCUCGCUGGGACGGUACUGACGCUGAGACGCGAAAGCGUGGGGAGCAAACAGG